GAUGAACGCUGGCGGCGUGCCUAAUACAUGCAAGUCGAACGAACAGACGCUGCUCUUGCUCCUCUGACGUUACCGACGGGCGGGUAAGUCACACGUGGACAGCCUACCUAUAAGACUUGGAUAACUUCGGGAAACCGGAGCUAAUACCGGAUAAUAUCUUGAACCUCGUGGUUCGAUAGUUAAUUCCGGGUUUGCUGUCACUUCUAGAUGGAUCCGCGCCGCAUUGGCUAGUUGGUAAGGUAACGGCUUACCAAGGCAACGAUGCGUAGCCGAACUGAGAGGGUGAGCGGCCACAAUGGGACGGAGACACGGUCCAGACUUCUACGGGAGGCAGCAGUAGGGAAGCGGGCGCAAGGGGCGAAAGUCUGACGGAGCAACGACGCGUGAGGGAUGAAGGUCGUCGGAGCGUAAAACUCUGUUAGUAGGGAAGAACAAAUGUGUAAGUAACUAGGUUCGUCGUGACGGUACCUAAUUAGAAAGCCACGGCUAACUACGUG
rnacentral:rRNA from 1 species